UACGAAGGGUGCAAGCGUUACUCGGAAUUACUGGGCGUAAAGCGUGCGUAGGUGGUUCGUUAAGUCCGAUGCGAAAGCCCUGGGCUCAACCUGGGAAUGGCAUGGGAUACUGGCGGGCUAGAGUGCGGUAGAGGGUGGCGGAAUUCCCGGUGUAGCAGUGAAAUGCGUAGAUAUCGGGAGGAACAUCUGUGGCGAAGGCGGCCACCUGGACCAGCACUGACACUGAGGCACGAAAGCGUGGGGAGCAAACAGG
rnacentral:rRNA from 1 species